rnacentral:lncRNA from 1 species
AAACAGAUCACUACAGCACGACACCUUUCCAUACCACAUUCAUUAUUCCGUCAACAGCAAAAGUAUCUCAUAUCAUCAAGGUCGAACGUACUCUAGAUUUGAUGGACUUGUUUUGACCCUCAAAUUUUGGAGUCGGCCUUAUACUCUGAAGGGCACCAGAAAACCCUCCAGCACAGUUCAAGAAUAAGCUUGUGGAAAGUUACUUCUUCAAAAGCAAAAGUAUCUCAUAUCAUCUCUUAUCCAUUUGCUUCUCCUUAUC